rnacentral:rRNA from 1 species
UACGUAGGGGGCAAGCGUUGUCCGGAAUUAUUGGGCGUAAAGAGCGUGUAGGCGGCCAGAUAAGUCCGCUGUGAAAUCUCGAGGCUCAACUUCGAGCUGUCGGUGGAAACUAUCUGGCUAGAGCCGGAAGAGGAGAAUGGAAUUCCUGGUGUAGCGGUGAAAUGCGCAGAUAUCAGGAAGAACACCCGUGGCGAAGGCGGUUCUCUGGGACGGUACUGACGCUGAGGAGCGAAAGCGUGGGUAGCAAACAGGAUUAGACACCUACCGUAGUCAG